AUGGCACUGGUUCCUUGGCGUGAGAAGAAUAAGGAAGGAGGGAGAACAGUGUAAAGCGUGACAGCUGAUACCUGGGAGUGAGAUGUGAAGUGGACAAACAUGGUGUUUACCUCAGGAGGUGGAGCCGACAGGACCUCCCGACAGACUGGAUAUGGAUGGCGGCUCCUUUCUUGGAAUACAUCACAUCAUAAUACUGCGAGUUCUCCUUCACCGCAAUGCCGUAGUAAUGGUACCUGGGCCACAAACAGAGAGAGAUCCACAUGCACCAUUAUCAGUCCCAGAAACACAACCCAACCUGCUCCCCACUGGGGGCCUUGGUACUGCCGUUCCUCUGCCUGGAAUGCAUUUACACCUGGAUCUUCACAAGACUGGCUCCUUCCCUCACCACAGGCUGGCCUCUGAGGGAGGUGCCUCUGCCCAGCGACCUCCUCCGAUGAGCCGAUGCAGAGUCGCAUGGCAGUCCCUCGGUAUCACGUGGCCCAGCUUUGUGUGUGCUUCCCGCUUAGCGCUCUGCAGUGAGCUUGCUGGCCCACCCUCUGAGUGCUUUUUUUCUCUUGCUUCCCUCACCUGAAUGGAAGCUGCAUGACGGCAGGGACCUGGCACAGGGCUUGGCACACGGGAAGAGCUCAAUCCUUUUCUGAUGAAUGAAGGAACAAGCCCUCCCCUGCCCCCGAGGCUAUCCUUUACUCAUCUGCAGAGUGGAGGAUGCUAACUGCUGUUGUCCAGGACAACCACACACAUUUGCCAGAAAUCUGGGAGGAUGGGGCCAUGUGCCCAGGUGAAAAUACAACUAAAGGGCCUCAUCCUUGGUGCUGACAGAGCUGAGGUCUGUGGAGAGGCAGGGUAGUGCAGGUCCUUGGGCAACGGCUUGUGGAAUUAGACUGCUUGGAUUAGAUCCAAGCUCAGCUUUGAGUGAGUCGAGAGCCCCUGGGCCAGUUUUUUAACAGUCAAAUGAUUCCGUUUCCUCAUUUAUCAAAUGGGAAUGAUAAUAACCCCUACUUCAGGGAAUUUUUUGUGAUGAGCUGAGCUGAAGAAUAAACAUACGUAAAUAAUU